rnacentral:rRNA from 1 species
CCUACGGGAGGCAGCAGUGGGGAAUAUUGGACAAUGGGCGCAACCCUGAUCCAGCGACGCCGCGUGAGGGAAGAAGGCUUUCGGGUUGUAAAACUCUUUUCUGAGGGACGAUAGUGACGAUGCUACAGGAAUAAGACGCGGCGAAUUACGACGCAGCAGCAGCGGUAAUACGUAGGUGGCAAGCGUUAUCCGGAUUUACUGGGUGUAAAGGGCGUGGAGGCGGGAUCGUAAGUCAGAUGUGAAAACUAUGGGCUCAACCCAUAGCCUGCAGUUGAAAAUAUGGUUCUUGAGUGUUGGAGAGGCAGGCGGAAUUCCGGGUGUAGCGGUGAAAUGCGUAGAUAUACGGAGGAACACUAGUGGCGAAGGCGGCCUGCUGGACAAUAACUGACGCUGAGGCGCGAAAGCGUGGGGAGCAAACAGGAUUAGAUACCCGUGUAGUC